CUCGUUCGCUCUAUUAACAAUGUCGUAACGACUCUCGGCAACGGAUAUCUAGGCUCUCGCAUCGAUGAAGAACGUAGCGAAAUGCGAUACUUGGUGUGAAUUGCAGAAUCCCGUGAACCAUCGAGUCUUUGAACGCAAGUUGCGCCCGAAGCCGUCAGGCCGA
rnacentral:rRNA from 1 species